rnacentral:lncRNA from 1 species
UAAAAACCCGAAUCCUAUACCGAUCCCUCUAAUUGACAUAAACUACUUGGUUGAGAGUGAUGGAAGGAAAUUGGUUUCUGGAUUGAUCCCAGAUUCUGGAACUAUUCAUGCACAUGGCGAGGAGACUGUCAAAAUCCCUGUUACUCUGAUUUAUGAUGACAUUAAAAAUGCAUAUGAUGAUAUCAAGCCUGGGAUGAUUAUUCCAUAUAAGAUCAAGGUUGACCUGAUUGUAGAUGUGCCGGUUUUUGGAAGGUUGACUCUUCCACUUGAGAAAAAUGGAGAGAUCCCCAUUCCUUACAAGCCCGAUAUUGAUCUCGAGAAGAUUAAGUUUGAGAGAUUCUCAUUUGAAGAAACUGUUGCAAUUCUUCAUUUGAAGUUGGAAAAUAAGAACGACUUUGACAUGGCCCUGAAUUCACUUGAUUAUGAAGUUUGGCUAUCAGAUGCGAGC